rnacentral:rRNA from 1 species
UACGGAGGGGGCCAGCGUUGUUCGGAAUCAUUGGGCGUAAAGGGCGCGUAGGCGGCCGGUCAAGUCGGACGUGAAAUUCCUCGGCUCAACUGAGGGACUGCGUCCGAUACUGUCCGGCUUGAGUCCCGGAGAGGGUAGUGGAAUUCCCAGUGUAGCGGUGAAAUGCGUAGAGACUGGGAGGAACACCGGUGGCGAAGGCGGCUACCUGGACGGGUACUGACGCUGAGGCGCGAAAGCUAGGGGAGCAAACAGG